UCGAAAGCCUAAUCUAAUGGUUGGUGGCCUAAUGAUUUCUCCUUUACUAUUUCCAUCGUAUCCUCCUCCCUCUCUCUUCUCAACUUAAAUCAAAAUCCUUAGAACAGUAGACUCCAUUCACUCUCUUCUUCUUACCAACAAAACGCAACACCGCCGCUGGUGGACACGCACAGGCGGCGGUCUCUCCGCUGCGGCUUCCCCUCGGCAAACUCUCAUCUCUCUCUUUCUCACUUUCGUCGGCUCUGUUGAUCUCCCUCUCAUCUCUCAAUUCGAAAUUUCUCCCAAUUUUAGAGACCCAAUUUGCUGACCUCCGCCGUCAGCUUAGGGCCGCCAUCAUCGGCUCCGGCUACUUGGUUCUAUCAGCCCUUACUCCUCACUCGUCGGCUGCGAGGCUCCGAUUCUCCUCUGUACUCACAACAGCGUCUGCUCUCCGCCGCUGCUUCUUGGUGAAACAGAGCCGUCGCCACCGAUCGAAGCUGCCACGGUGACGCCCCCUCUGUCAGGUUCGAGUUUGAGUAGCCCUUUCUCGGCCUCUGCCCCUACUGAUGCCUCGCACGAACAGCUACUGCCUCACCGCUGUCAAGUGCCGUUGCUGCCCCGAUGAGUCCGUGGAUAGGCUGCCAUUUUUUUUGGAGCUUUGUGGAGGUUGGAUCGAGAGAGAAGAUAGUAGAACAUGCUCACCUCAUCUUCCAUGUCCAUUUCUCAAAAUAGCAAACUACAACUCCUUGAUUCUUGUGUUUGCCAAAAGAUGAUUGUAUAUGAUUACUGUAUGGUUAGACUGGGUAGGACCUGUAGAGUAGUAUUGUCUAUUUGCACUUGUAGGCAUAUGUAUGUAUUUCAAAAGUUGUACCCUCAACUAUAACUCUUGUAUUUCUAUUUUUUCCAACAAUUUGUAAUUCAAAACUUAAAUUUCCUUGCACUUUAA